GACGAAUGCUGGCGGCGUGCUUAACACAUGCGAGUCGAACGGAAAGGCCCUGCUUUUGUGGGGUGCUCGAGUGGCGAACGGGUGAGUAACACGUGAGUAACCUGCCCUUGACUUUGGGAUAACUUCAGGAAACUGGGGCUAAUACCGGAUAGGAGCUCCUGCUGCAUGGUGGGGGUUGGAAAGUUUCGGCGGUUGGGGAUGGACUCGCGGCUUAUCAGCUUGUUGGUGGGGUAGUGGCUUACCAAGGCUUUGACGGGUAGCCGGCCUGAGAGGGUGACCGGCCACAUUGGGACUGAGAUACGGCCCAGACUCCUACGGGAGGCAGCAGUGGGGAAUAUUGCACAAUGGGCGGAAGCCUGAUGCAGCAACGCCGCGUGCGGGAUGACGGCCUUCGGGUUGUAAACCGCUUUCGCCUGUGACGAAGCGUGAGUGACGGUAAUGGGUAAAGAAGCACCGGCUAACUACGUG
rnacentral:rRNA from 1 species